AGGAUGAACGCUGGCGGCGUGCUUAACACAUGCAAGUCGAACGAAGAUGCCGGAGUGCUUGCACUUUGGCAGACUGAGUGGCGGACGGGUGAGUAACGCGUGGGUAACCUGCCUUAUACAGGGGGAUAACAGUUGGAAACGACUGCUAAUACCGCAUAAGCGCACGGUAUCGCAUGAUACAGUGUGAAAAACUCCGGUGGUAUAAGAUGGACCCGCGUCUGAUUAGCUUGUUGGUGAGGUAACGGCCCACCAAGGCGACGAUCAGUAGCCGGCCUGAGAGGGUGAACGGCCACAUUGGGACUGAGACACGGCCCAAACUCCUACGGGAGGCAGCAGUGGGGAAUAUUGCACAAUGGGGGAAACCCUGAUGCAGCGACGCCGCGUGAGUGAUGAAGUAUUUCGGUAUGUAAAACUCUAUCAGCAGGGAAGAUAAUGACGGUACCUGACUAAGAAGCACCGGCUAAAUACGUG
rnacentral:rRNA from 1 species